rnacentral:rRNA from 1 species
UACGAAGGGGGCUAGCGUUGCUCGGAAUCACUGGGCGUAAAGGGUGCGUAGGCGGAUCUUUAAGUCAGGGGUGAAAUCCUGGAGCUCAACUCCAGAACUGCCUUUGAUACUGAGGAUCUCGAGUUCGGGAGAGGUGAGUGGAACUGCGAGUGUAGAGGUGAAAUUCGUAGAUAUUCGCAAGAACACCAGUGGCGAAGGCGGCUCACUGGCCCGAUACUGACGCUGAGGCACGAAAGCGUGGGGAGCAAACGGG